UACGUAGGGCGCGAGCGUUGUCCGGAAUUAUUGGGCGUAAAGAGCUCGUAGGCGGCCUGUCGCGUCGGUUGUGAAAGCCCGGGGCUCAACCCCGGGUCUGCAGUCGAUACGGGCAGGCUAGAGUUCGGUAGGGGAGAUCGGAAUUCCUGGUGUAGUGGUGAUAUGCGUAGAUAUCGGGAGGAACACCGGUGGCGAAGGCGGGUCUCUGGGCCGAUACUGACGCUGAGGAGCGAAAGCGUGGGGAGCGAACAGG
rnacentral:rRNA from 1 species